UACGAAGGGUGCAAACGUUGCUCGGAAUCAUUGGGCGUAAAGCGCACGUAGGCGGCGCAACAAGUCGGACGUGAAAUCCCUCGGCUCAACCGAGGACGUGCAUCCGAAACUGUUGUGCUCGAGUAUGGAAGAGGGUCGCGGAAUUCUCGGUGUAGAGGUGAAAUUCGUAGAUAUUCGCAAGAACACCAGUGGCGAAGGCGGCUCACUGGCCCGGUACUGACGCUGAGGUGCGAAAGCGUGGGGAGCGAACAGG
rnacentral:rRNA from 1 species